UCAUCAUUAAGGGCAUGCUGUGUGUUGAGCCCUGCAGUCCAUAAUCGGGAUGCAGAAGUAAAACAAAGAGUCCCCAUCCUGAAGGGGCUCAGUCUGUCUAAGAUAUAGGUGAGAAAUAUGAAGAACUCUGGAGAGUUGGGAAAUAAUAGUCUAGGGAUGAUUUAAGUUAUUUAGGUCAUAGAGUACAAGGCUUAUAUUUUUUAUAAGAAGGAAGACAGUCCAAACUCAAAGGGAAAGGAAAACACUAAAUGAUUAGUACAUACAUAGUAAAUAAAUUGUUCAGUGUUUAGAAUUUCACACUUGAAGGAGUUAAUGCCAGAGCUGCCAUCUUGAAGCAUUAGAAAGAGUAAAUCUCACCCUAAUCCUGCAAUAGAAUCACAGAUGCUGAAACAGAAGCUCUCUGGGUAUGGCCAUGGCAGUUCUAUUUUUAAAAAAGCUUCCAGAUGAUUCUAAUGCUUAGCCAGGAUUGAAAACCAUCGACUAAGCCAGAUAGUAGACAGGGAUUUUCUGCAAAGAAGAAACAAGUAGGUAGAGAAAACAUUUUUGAUUUUAGUUGGGAUUUUAGGGAAAUUGGGGGGGAAAGACAAAAGGAGACUGUAAAGUGGAAAAGGGUAAUGAAAGACAAAGAAAGGUAUGAAUGUGUGUUCUUGCUUCUGAAACAGCAGCAAGAUUGUUUCUGUUCCUCUUUCUUUUUGUGGAUUCAUUUGACCAAACAGAUUACUGUAUCAGGUUAAAUUUAAAUCCAAGUUUACUCAGCAUUCCCAUCCCUGAGUCCUAAAAUAAUAAUAAUAAUAAUAAUAUUUGCUUAACAGUAGGGCUUUAUAAGUUAAUACGUUAAUUUGUCUUUGUAUUCUUUCCAGUCAUUCCCCUCUUACUUUGAACCCUCUUAGAAAACAGCAUAGCAUUUGGAAAACACAUAAGAUCCUCUUUCAAAUAUUUACCUAUUUGUUACACACACACACACACACACACAAAAAAUCUCUUUGUCUGUCUGUCUAUGGAAAGGGAAAGAAUGCCCUCUUACUAUGUGCUGUGCCUUAGCAUUCUUAGGAGGAAGCUAUGGAUGCAUCAGGUGAACAUGAACUCUACUGUUACUGAAUCAUAUCCCCCAAAGGCACUAUGUUGAAGUCCUAACCCCCACUAUCUGUGACUAUGACCUUAUUUGGAAACAGAUCCUUUGUAGAGGUAAUCAAGUCAAAAUGCGGUCAUUCUGGUGGGCUUUAACCCAAUACGACUUGUGUCCAUAUAAGAUGUAGACAGAUAUACACAAGGAGAAUGUUGUGUGAUUAUGGAACAGAGAUUGAAGUACUGAAGCUGCAAGUCAAGGAGCAUCUGGAGCUACCAGAAUCAAGAAGAAGCCAAGAAGUUUUCUAUCCUGGAGGUUUUGCAAGGAACAUCUCCCUCCGCUUAGACUUUGAUUUCAAACUCUAGCCUCCAAAGGCGGGAAAGAAUAAUUUUCUGUUGUCUUAGGUCACCAAGUUUUUGGUACUUUAUUACAGCAGUUGUAAGAAACUAUGAUCUACUUUUACACUGUAGGAAAUGGGUAUCAUCUACCUUAUUAGGUUGUAGAUGAAAUUCACAGAGAUUUAUCCUAAAAAAGGAAGAAACCAGGACCUUUGCUUUCUUUCUUUUAUAAUCUAUCAUGUAGAGACAUACUUAAAUGAGCAAUCAUAUAACAGGUGGGAAAGAACUUACAAGGUAUCGUGGGAGCAAAUAAUAGGCACCCCUAAUUUAGUCAGUAAAGAAAGGGGUUUCAAGGGAAAGCAAAGACAGGCUUCCUUGAGGAAGAACCAGUUAAGAUAAUAUUUGGCAGAUGAAAGGAAUCAAGCAGAAAAAGCAGAAGGAAGGGACAAAUGGGGGGAAGGAAAUUGUGUAAUUGGUCCUAGACUUGAGACAUCCUGGAUGUAAUUGAGAUGCAUGCAAAUGUGUUGUAGGCUGAAGUCUCUCCCACAUAAUCCCUGUCAAAGGAUGUCAUUAACUCACAGUGUCAUCUGGCCACUGUACUUUUAUCCCUUCACCUUUCCUUGGAAUCCUUUAGCAUCUCAAUUUAAGCAGUUCCUUGGUUUUCAUUCGUCUAUUUUAUUUUGUAAACUCUGAUCCAGGAUUCAAGUUCUGAAAGGAAUUCCAAAGAGCACUAGUAUUAGACCAUAACCCUGGUUGAAAGGGAAAAUGAGGCUGUUUUGUUUAUGCCUCUAGGUUGCCAUGGUAGGUGUGUUCCUGGAAGGCUAGGGAAGACAUAGACAAGAGGUCUGGAGAAGGCUUAAGACAACAGUUCUCCAAUUACAACCUGAGGAAAAAUAUUCAAUGUAGUAACAUAUUCUAUCACUAAAGGCUCCAUGGUAAUUAAGUUUGAGGAAUGCUGAACUGGAACAUUAACAGGCUGUUUUGUUCCUUUGCUUUGCUGUAGAUGCUCAGAGACUCUAAUACAUAAAAAAUCUCUAAGACUAAAUUAUAGUAUUAGUUGUCUCCAUUGUUUUGUUUUAAACAUUUUGCAGAAUAGAGAAGAUAUUUGUUGCUUAUGCAUUUACUUAUGUUUAUAUUUGAAGAUUCUGAUUCGAGUGAGUCUUUAUGUAGAUCAGGGCUCUGCUUCAUAUCAUAGAAGCCAAAAAGACUAGACCAUUGAGAUAUUUGUUUUCCUCGAAUGAGAAGGCUAGAGUUUGGGGAAGUGAUCUAAGCUUGGCCAGUAGGAUUCUCUUACAAGGGACUUUUAAAUCUGGAACCAAAAAUAAUAGAAAGCAGAGGACAUGUAGAAUUCGCCCUGGAGUGGUGACAGCCUCUGAUCACCAUUUCAUUGGUGCCAGCAGUAAUUAGUGACAGGUGGCAGGCAGCAGCUUCUCUCUACAAUGACUACUGUGGUACUUCCAGCUGCAUUGGGUCCUGCUAUUAAUCAAGGUAGAUGUUGUCAACUUAGGAGAUAAACCACAGUUCUUCCAAUCCAGUACAUUUUUUAUUAUUAGAAUCAGGUUUCUAUUGGUUACAACCAGGCAUAUGUUCACAGAGCAACUCUGACUGUAGUGCUUCAAGGAAUAUAUUUUGGGGAAAUUUUUUUCUUUAGGGCUGCCCCUGUGGCAUAUGGAUGAUUCCAGGAUAGGGGUCAAAUUAGAGCUGCAGCUGCCUGCCUAUGCCACAGCCACAGCAAUGCAGGAUCUGAGCGGUGCGGCUGCAACCUACACUCCAGCUCAUGGCAACACCAUAUCCUUAACCCACUGAGGAAGGCCAGGGAUCGAACCUGCAUCCUCAUGGAUACCAGUCAGAUUCGUUUCCAUGGAGCCACAAUAGGAACUCCCUCCAGCAUUUGUUAUUUGUUGACUUGUUAAUGAUGGCCGUUCUGACAGGUGUGAGGUGGUACCUCAUAGUAGUUUUUAUUUGCAUUUCUCUAAUAUUUAGUGAUGUUGAACAAUUUUUCAUGUGCUGUUGGCCAUCUGUAUAUCUUCUUUGGAGAAAUGUCUAUUCAGGUCUUUUGCCCAUUUUUCAACUGGGUUGUUGACUUUUUGCUGUUGAGUUAUAUAAGUUGUUUGUAUAUUUUAGCAAUUAAGCCCAUGUCAGUUGCAUCAUUUGAAACUAUUUUCUCCCAUUCUUUAGGUUGUCUUUUUGGUUUCUUUUUUUAUGGUUUCCUUUGCUGUGCGAAAGCUUGUCAGUUUGAUUAGGUCCCAUUUGUUUAUUUUUGCUUUUAUUUCUGUUGCCUUGAGAGACUGACCGAAGAAAACAUUUAUAAGGUUGAUGUCAGGGAAUGUCUUGCAUAUGUUCUGUUCUAGAAGUUUGAUGGUGUCUUAUCCUAUGUUUAAGUCCUUAAGCCAUUUUGAGUUUAUUUUUGUGCAUGGUGUGAGGGUGUGUUCCAGUUUCAUUGAUUUACAUGCAGCUCAAGUGGGCUCUUGAAAGUGGAGGAGGUUCUGCCAUAUCCCUAAUAAAAUGUGGAGGCCCCUCCCUGAAAAAAAAGUGGAGAGGGGAAGUGGAAGAAUCAGUGAGAAAGAGAUGAAAGGGCAAAAUAGGGACUACAGAUUUGAAGCAUUAGAGGGAUUGACUUACCAUUCCUGGCUUUGAAGACAAAAGGACCAGAAAGCAAGUAAGGCAGGCAGCUUCCAGAAGAUAAGAGCAACUUCCAGAUGCCAGCCAGGGAGGAAAUAGGACCUCAGCCAUACAACUGCAUAGACCUGAAUUCUGCCAACAGCUUAAAAUAUUAUGGAAUUAGAUUGACCCCUAGAGCCUCCAGGACAUCCAGGAGCCCUGCAGACAUCUUGAUCUUGGCUUUGUAAGACUUGAAGCAGAAAAACAAGGUGAACUUACCAGACUUUGACUAUAAAACAGUAGUGUUGUUAAAUGGGUGUCAUUUUCAGGUAUUAUUUGUGGUAAUUUGUUACACAGCCAUAGAAAGCUAAUGCAAUUGUAUUUUAAGGACCUCUUAGGAGGCCUAGUGGAUGGCUUUUGUAUGGGUAUCCCAGCCCCCCCAUUGCUUAGCCUUUCUUGCUAAGAAUCAGUACAACUCACAUCUGGUUAUAUAAAAAGCCAGCUUGGAGAUUCGAUCUCUGGAAGAGAGACUAAAGCAACAGGAUACAAAUCUGGUCUCUGAAUUUUCCUUUGCCUUCUAAGAUCUGCUGAUCAAAGUACAAUUGCUUCCCUGAGCUGAUGAGAAUGAAUCCUGUUUCUUAGGUCAAUAACACACUGUCCAUUUGAUUCCAUCACAUCCCUCCUCUGUUAUAAGCAUGUGCCAGCCCCUUUCUGAAUUGAUUCUAGCACCUCAUUCUCAAUCUUAACUCGGAUUCUUCUCUUUCUUCUCAUAGCAGAUCUCAAGCAGAUGAGAGCAAAUACCUGGUGCUUGACUGUGUUAGACUCUAUCUUGUGAGAUUAUGCCUUUGGGGAAAAGCCCAACCGGGUAGAAAUUCAAAAUAUAGAUUAUGAAAACUGAAUCCAGGAAAUAUAAAGUAAGUUCUUAAUGAGGUAGAUCGAUUCAGUGGGGCUGCUGUGAAUAUUAAUUAUUGUCAUAGAAUAUAUACAGUAUAUAAUAUUAGAAUAGAUACAGUAUAUAAGUAUAUCCUUUUGGGCAAUGGUUUGAGUAGCCAUAUAAGUUAGGUAUUAAUAUCAUCAUUUUUGUUUUUUAAGUAUUAUCUAUUUAUCUAUAUAUAAAUAAUAUGUUUUCAGAUUUAUACAUAAAUUGAACAGACAGUAUAGAUUUACAUAUAUUUACCCUACCCCCAUUUCCAACCUCCCUCCUACACUCCCACACAGAUUCCUUUAUUAUUAAAUUAUUAUCUCUUGCAUUCAUUACAAUGGAUGGACCAAUAUCCAAUACAUUGUCAUAGCCAAAGUCUGUAAUUUACCUUAGGGUUUACUCUUGCUUUGUACAGUUUUAUGGGUUUUGAAAAAUGCUCAUUGUUAUGUACCUACCAUUACAGUAUCAUACACAAUAGUUUUAUCCUAAUGAUCUCCUGUACUUCAUCUGUUCAUCCCUCUCCUUCCUCCAGUGAAACCCUUAAUAACCAUGGAUUUUUAAAAUUUUCUGUAUGUAUUUUUUUCCCAAUGCCAUAUAGUUGGAAUCAUACAGGAUGUAGCAUUUACAGACUGGCUUUUUUUUAAACUCAACAAUAUGCAUUUAAGAUUCCUCCAUGUCUUUUUGUGGUUUAUUAGUUCAUUUCUUAGUAUCACUAAAUACUUUUCCAUUGUAUGGAUGUACCAUAAUUUGUUUAUCCAUUCACCUAUGGAAGGACAUCUUGGUAUGCCUCUAGUUGGGGACCAAAAUGAAUAAAGCUGAUAUAAACAUCAUGUUCAGGUUUUUGUGUGGACAUUUAUCAGAGAUAGGACUGCAUUGUUGGGAGGGAAAUGUUUCUUUUAGUUGGAGAGAAUUUUAUCAGUGUGACACUUUUGGCUUCUCUUCACCACUUCCAUCCCUCAGCUUUCUGAGAAAUAGAGAUUUAUCUGAUUGGUACAAAUGUGGGCAUUACAGACUUAGCUCCUCCUUACUUCCUGUUUAGCAAGGGCACCCUCUGUAUUAUCAAGUCUGCUAUAAUUAACCAACCUUCAGCCAUGUCCUAAAACCUGACCUUUGUUAGUUAUCAAGGUCAUAAUAUCACUUCCAUAUUUAUAUUAAUUCUUUUUCAGAUUCUUCAAAACUUGGGCAGGAAAGAAUAUUAUUUAUCAUAAGCUACCUCAGAGACUCUCAGCAAAAGCUAAAGCUCAGAAAGCUUAAGUAAUUCAUACAAAGGCAAGCAGUUAGCAAGUAGCAGAACCAAAAUUCAGUCUAAGUUGGUCAGACUCCAAAGUCUGUAUUCAUUAUACCUACAAUACCAUCCUUUUCCAAAGUACUUUCAAAGUUUAGUUCCACUGAGUAUUUAUUAUUACUACUGGGGGAGGGGAAGGGGAAAGGAAUUUUUAUAUUCAAGUAAACUUAAGGAAACUGUAUUCAAUAAAAUUAAUCUAGCUUAUUUAUAGAAUUUGUUCACAUCCUAAGUAGACAUAGUGCACAGUGGAACCUAAAUUUAUAUGGUCAUGGAGCUCCUUUAAAGGAUAUUUCAUGAGGAGUUCCCAUUGUGGCUCAGCAGGGUUAAGAACAUGACAUAGUGUCCAUGAGGAUGCAUGUGCAAUCCCUGGCCUUGCUCAGUGGGUUAAUGCUCCAGUGUUCCACAAGCUGUGGCUCAGAUCCGGUGUUGCUGUGGUGUGACAUAGACCUCAGAUCCAGCUCUCAUUAGACCCCUAGCCUGGGAACUUCCAUAUGCUGCAGGUGCAGCUGUAAAAAGAAAAAAAAUAAAAAAAAAUAAAAA
rnacentral:lncRNA from 1 species